CGUUUCGAUGUGUACCGGUUUUAUUUCGAUACGUAUCACUACAAAAAAUCGAUACGUAACGAUAUGGUCUCUUUGAAAAUCUUGUAUCAUUGUUAACCAUAGGAUUCUUGUGACUUGUCUACUUGUCGACUUAUUACAGAGAAGAAUAAAACAAUUAAUUGAACCUUAAAAUACCAGGAACUAGAUGUGCUGUUGCUGUUUGCUCAAAUAGUUUACUGGAAACAAAAAAAAAAAAAAUUUUAUCAUAUUUUAUCAUACAUUUCCAAAAUAUCAAAAACUAUGCCAUGUUUGGAUUAAUGCCUGCCGGAGAAAAGAUAAGUGGAAUCAUAAGACCAGUACAAUUUGUAGUGUAUAUUUUUUGAAAAACAAUUUUGAAGUUGAUUUAAGAAGCCAAUUAAUGAACAUCAAAAUAAAAUUAAAACCAUAUGCUAUUCCAACUCAACAUUUAAAAGAGAAAUAUUUACCAAAUGUGUCAACUAAUAUAUUAUCAUCUAGACAAGUAUGUGCAAACAUGCGUGAAAAUGCAACUAUUGUUCAAAGUUUAAUACCAACUCAAGAGAAUAAAGAUAUACGUAGCAAAAGAAGAUGAAGAUAAAGUACACGAGGAGUUGCCUACUUUAAUUAAUGAAUCAAUUGAACAUAAGUACCAACAAUUACUUAACGACCAUGAAAAAUUGAAAACAAAGUAUAAACAUUUAUCUCAAUUCAAUAAAUUUUAAAAAAAUCGUAUUAAUACUUAGAACAAAAAAUGUAAUUUUCUUUCUCAAAAAUUUGGAGAACAAGCUUCGCAAACUCAUAUCUUACAUGAAUCAUUAAAAAUAGUGUUCAGUCAAACACAAUUACAAUUAAUAACUAAAAAGAAAAUAAUAGUGAUUUGGAGCACAGAAGAUAUUUCAAAAGCUUUUACAUUACAAUAUCUUAGUAAAAAGUGUUACAUUUAUCUAAGAAACAAAUUUAACUAUCCAUUACCACUUGUAUCAACUUAAGUUAAAUGGGCUUUUAGAUUAAAUUUUCGUCAGGGUAUUUUGGUUAGCGUUAUUAGAAUAAUGAAAAUAGCAGCACUAAAUUUAAAUAAUAUUGAAAAAUUGUGUAUUAUUCAAUUUGAUGAAAUGAAGAUACAAUCAGUUUAUGAGUAUGAUAAAAAAAAAUGAUCAAGUCAUAGGGCCCCACAGUCAAAUGCAAGUAAUCAUGGUGAGAGGCAUCUUUAAGAAUUGAAAACAACAAAUAUAUGUCAAUUUUGAUCAAUUAGUUACACCGGAAAUUCUGUCUGAAGCUAUAUCUAUUUUAUAUGAAAAUUCAUAUAAUGUGGUUGCCUGUGUAUCUGAUUAUGGUGGUGGUAAUGUUGGGUUAUGGAAGAAGUUGGGUAUAACUAUUGACAAAACAUAUUUUCUACUUGCCCGUAAAUUUAAAAACGAAUAUCCCCACUUGGGUUGUUAUACCAAAGACAAUAAACCAGAUCAUUCAUACAGUACACCAAGUUGGGUUCAACAUCUGUCAUUUGGUGGUUUAACUGAACCGUCUACAGAUUGGGAUAAGCAAGCUAAAAUUUUUGAAAUCCUGUUUAAAAAGUUUCACAAAGAAAAAAAUGAUACCGACUCAAAUAUUGUUAAAAGAUUAACUAAACUAAUAAAGAAAAAAUGUGAUAUGCCUGAAGAUUUAAUUAAAGCGUUUAUUCUCCAAAGGACUUACAUUAGAAUUAAACUGCUGAAUGAUAAUCUUAUAGCUGAAAGAUCUGAAGGUAAAAAAACAUCAAGCACAGAUAGAAAAUCAACUAAAAAAAAUGAAAAAAAAAUAAUAACAUAAAUUGUAUGUGAUUGUAAUAUUAAAAUAACUAGUAUUUAAACCUUAUAUGUGAGCAUAUCAUUACAAUAUUUAGUAUACUUUUAUUUGUGUAAAAAUUAUUAAUUGUUUAUGUAUAUUUGUAAGAUUAAAGUUUGAACUUGUAAAUUCUUAUUUUAUUAAUUUUUCACAAUGUGUUUCAAAUACAUAUUAUUAUUAUUAAAUGUUUGUAUUAUAAAUUUAUGUUACCUAA